GGCUUCGUGGCUUAGCUGGUAGAGCACUUGCCCGCGCAGAAACAUGGUGUUUCUGUCGCUGGUUCGAAUCCAGCCAAAGCCC